rnacentral:rRNA from 1 species
CCUACGGGAGGCUGCAGUAGGGAAUCUUCCACAAUGGGCGAAAGCCUGAUGGAGCAACGCCGCGUGGGUGAAGAAGGUCUUCGGAUCGUAAAACCCUGUUGUUAGAGAAGAAAGUGCGUGAGAGUAACUGUUCACGUUUCGACGGUAUCUAACCAGAAAGCCACGGCUAACUACGUGCCAGCAGCCGCGGUAAUACGUAGGUGGCAAGCGUUAUCCGGAUUUAUUGGGUGUAAAGGGAACGCAGGCGGUCUUUUAAGUCUGAUGUGAAAGCCUUCGGCUUAACCGGAGUAGUGCAUUGGAAACUGGGAGACGUGAGUGCAGAAGAGGAGAGUGGAACUCCAUGUGUAGCGGUGAAAUGCGUAGAUAUAUGGAAGAACACCAGUGGCGAAAGCGGCUCUCUGGUCUGUAACUGACGCUGAGGUUCGAAAGCGUGGGUAGCAAACAGGAUUAGAUACCCCUGUAGUC